rnacentral:rRNA from 1 species
UGAGAGUUUUGAUCCUGGCUCAGAACGAACGCUGGCGGCAGGCUUAACACAUGCAAGUCGAGCGCCCCGCAAGGGGAGCGGCAGACGGGUGAGUAACGCGUGGGAACGUACCCUUUACUACGGAAUAACGCAGGGAAACUUGUGCUAAUACCGUAUGUGCCCUUUGGGGGAAAGAUUUAUCGGUAAAGGAUCGGCCCGCGUUGGAUUAGCUAGUUGGUGGGGUAAAGGCCUACCAAGGCGACGAUCCAUAGCUGGUCUGAGAGGAUGAUCAGCCACAUUGGGACUGAGACACGGCCCAAACUCCUACGGGAGGCAGCAGUGGGGAAUAUUGGACAAUGGGCGCAAGCCUGAUCCAGCCAUGCCGCGUGAGUGAUGAAGGCCCUAGGGUUGUAAAGCUCUUUCACCGGAGAAGAUAAUGACGGUAUCCGGAGAAGAAGCCCCGGCUAACUUCGUGCCAGCAGCCGCGGUAAUACGAAGGGGGCUAGCGUUGUUCGGAAUUACUGGGCGUAAAGCGCACGUAGGCGGAUCGAUCAGUCAGGGGUGAAAUCCCAGGGCUCAACCCUGGAACUGCCUUUGAUACUGUCGAUCUGGAGUAUGGAAGAGGUGAGUGGAAUUCCGAGUGUAGAGGUGAAAUUCGUAGAUAUUCGGAGGAACACCAGUGGCGAAGGCGGCUCACUGGUCCAUACUG